GACGAACGCUGGCGGCGUGCUUAACACAUGCAAGUCGAGCGGUAAGGCCCUUUCGGGGGUACACGAGCGGCGAACGGGUGAGUAACACGUGGGUGACCUGCCCUCAGCUCUGGGAUAAGCCUGGGAAACCGGGUCUAAUACUGGAUAUGACUCCAUGACGCAUGUUGUGGGGUGGAAAGCCUUGUGCGGCUGAGGAUGGGCCCGCGGCCUAUCAGCUUGUUGGUGGGGUGANGGCCUAUCAAGGCAACGACGGGUAGCCGGCCUGAGAGGGCGACCGGCCACACUGGGACUGAGACACGGCCCAGACUCCUACGGGAGGCAGCAGUGGGGAAUCUUGCGCAAUGGGCGAAAGCCUGACGCAGCGACGCCGCGUGAGGGAUGACGGCCU
rnacentral:rRNA from 1 species